GGGAGUACUAAUAAUCAGAUUCCACCAUCUACUGCCCCGCUAAAUAGUAAACACGCAUCAAUUAUUGACGUCACCCAAAGGCCAGAAAGUUGUACACUCUGAUUUGAGGUAUUUAGACUUAUUGGAAACGUUACCGAGGGAACUAUUUAGUGGAUGUUAAUAUUCAAGAGAAGGCGAGCAAUUAAAUUGGACCCACGCGUUUUUAAAUAUUGAAUUCUUAUAAGAACUUUUGACUGAUUGUAUCAAGAGUUGAGUACGGAUUCCAAAUAGGAGUGACCAAAGAGUGCAAACAGCAAUACCUGUAAAUAGCAACUAAGGUUCCACAAGAAAAUGGUGCGUCCCGUCCUAGUCACCCUUGUCAUAUGCUGUGUAGUAGCACUCUACCAGACAAACGCCAACACACUCAGGCAAAAACGCUCUUCUACACCAAAAGACAGGGGUGCAUUGUCACAACAUCUAAUAAGAUGGAUGAAAAAGAAUUUUUACGACGAGUGUGCUGGUAGCUGCUCUGUGAAUGCAAAUGGCGAGGACGACUGUACCUGCUUUGGAUACUUCUGUUCUGUGGAAACCAACGAAAUACAGAAUAUCGGGGCACGGGAAGAGGGCGUCUGCAGUCCAUUGGCGCAGUUCUGGGGCUACAAGUAACUUAGUGCCUAGACACGGAAAACCUCUGGGACCACCAGUGAUAUGGGCCUAAGACAAGACAUCGUUUCACACAUUUAAAAACAAUUUGAAACCGCUGAAUUUAUUCUCAUUAACACAUUUGUCUACCAUAUUUUUUAUAUUGUUUUCAAUAGG
rnacentral:misc_RNA from 1 species